AAUAGAUACCCCGGUAGUCCACGCUGUAAACGAUGAAUACUAGGUGUCGGGGGUCGAACCUCGGUGCCGCACGCUAACGCAAUAAGUAUUCCACCUGGGGAGUACGAUCGCAAGAUUAAAACUCAAAGGAAUUGACGGGGGCCCGCACAAGUAGCGGAGCAUGUGGUUUAAUUCGAAGCAACGCGAAGAACCUUACCUAGGUUUGACAUCCCAAGAAUCCGGUGGAAACAUUGGAGUGCCCUUCGGGGGACUUGGAGACAGGUGGUGCAUGGUUGUCGUCAGCUCGUGUCGUGAGAUGUUGGGUUAAGUCCCGCAACGAGCGCAACCCUUGUUGUUAGUUGCUACCAUUAAGUUGAGCACUCUAGCAAGACUGCCCGGGUAACCGGGAGGAAGGUGGGGAUGACGUCAAAUCAUCAUGCCCCUUAUAUCUAGGGCUACACACGUGCUACAAUGGCUGGUACAAUUAGAAGCGAUACCGCGAGGUGGAGCAAAACUUAAAACCAGUCUCAGUUCGGAUUGUAGGCUGCAACUCGCCUACA
rnacentral:rRNA from 1 species